rnacentral:rRNA from 1 species
GGCUAGCCUCAAGUGAUGAUUAUUGGAGGUAGAGCACUGUUUGGACGAGGGGCCCCUCUCGGGUUACCGAAUUCAGACAAACUCCGAAUGCCAAUUAAUUUAACUUGGGAGUCAGAACAUGGGUGAUAAGGUCCGUGUUCGAAAGGGAAACAGCCCAGACCACCAGCUAAGGUCCCAAAAUAUAUGUUAAGUGGAAAAGGAUGUGGCGUUGCCCAGACAACUAGGAUGUUGGCUUAGAAGCAGCCAUCAUUUAAAGAGUGCGUAAUAGCUCACUAGUCGAGUGACACUGCGCCGAAAAUGUACCGGGGCUAAACAUAUUACCGAAGCUGUGGAUUGUCCUUUGGACAAUGGUAGGAGAGCGUUCUAAGGGCGUUGAAGCAUGAUCGUAAGGACAUGUGGAGCGCUUAGAAGUGAGAAUGCCGGUGUGAGUAGCGAAAGACGGGUGAGAAUCCCGUCCACCGAUUGACUAAGGUUUCCAGAGGAAGGCUCGUCCGCUCUGGGUUAGUCGGGUCCUAAGCUGAGGCCGACAGGCGUAGGCGAUGGAUAACAGGUUGAUAUUCCUGUACCACCUAUAAUCGUUUUAAUCGAUGGGGGGACGCAGUAGGAUAGGCGAAGCGUGCGAUUGGAUUGCACGUCUAAGCAGUAAGGCUGAGUAUUAGGCAAAUCCGGUACUCGUUAAGGCUGAGCUGUGAUGGGGAGAAGACAUUGUGUCUUCGAGUCGUUGAUUUCACACUGCCGAGAAAAGCCUCUAGAUAGAAAAUAGGUGCCCGUACCGCAAACCGACACAGGUAGUCAAGAUGAGAAUUCUAAGGUGAGCGAGCGAACUCUCGUUAAGGAACUCGGCAAAAUGACCCCGUAACUUCGGGAGAAGGGGUGCUCUUUAGGGUUAACGCCCAGAAGAGCCGCAGUGAAUAGGCCCAAGCGACUGUUUAUCAAAAACACAGGUCUCUGCUAAACCGUAAGGUGAUGUAUAGGGGCUGACGCCUGCCCGGUGCUGGAAGGUUAAGAGGAGUGGUUAGCUUCUGCGAAGCUACGAAUCGAAGCCCCAGUAAACGGCGGCCGUAACUAUAACGGUCCUAAGGUAGCGAAAUUCCUUGUCGGGUAAGUUCCGACCCGCACGAAAGGCGUAACGAUUUGGGCACUGUCUCAACGAGAGACUCGGUGAAAUCAUAGUACCUGUGAAGAUGCAGGUUACCCGCGACAGGACGGAAAGACCCCGUGGAGCUUUACUGUAGCCUGAUAUUGAAAUUCGGCACAGCUUGUACAGGAUAGGUAGGAGCCUUUGAAACGUGAGCGCUAGCUUACGUGGAGGCGCUGGUGGGAUACUACCCUAGCUGUGUUGGCUUUCUAACCCGCACCACUUAUCGUGGUGGGAGACAGUGUCAGGCGGGCAGUUUGACUGGGGCGGUCGCCUCCUAAAAGGUAACGGAGGCGCUCAAAGGUUCCCUCAGAAUGGUUGGAAAUCAUUCAUAGAGUGUAAAGGCAUAAGGGAGCUUGACUGCGAGACCUACAAGUCGAGCAGGGUCGAAAGACGGACUUAGUGAUCCGGUGGUUCCGCAUGGAAGGGCCAUCGCUCAACGGAUAAAAGCUACCCCGGGGAUAACAGGCUUAUCUCCCCCAAGAGUUCACAUCGACGGGGAGGUUUGGCACCUCGAUGUCGGCUCAUCGCAUCCUGGGGCUGUAGUCGGUCCCAAGGGUUGGGCUGUUCGCCCAUUAAAGCGGUACGCGAGCUGGGUUCAGAACGUCGUGAGACAGUUCGGUCCCUAUCCGUCGUGGGCGUAGGAAAUUUGAGAGGAGCUGUCCUUAGUACGAGAGGACCGGGAUGGACAUACCUCUGGUGUACCAGUUGUCGUGCCAACGGCAUAGCUGGGUAGCUAUGUGUGGACGGGAUAAGUGCUGAAAGCAUCUAAGCAUGAAGCCCCCCUCAAGAUGAGAUUUCCCAACUUCGGUUAUAAGAUCCCUCAAAGAUGAUGAGGUUAAUAGGUUCGAGGUGGAAGCAUGGUGACAUGUGGAGCUGACGAAUACUAAUCGAUCGAAGACUUAAUCAA